GCAAACUUGGUCAUUUAGAGGAAGUAAAAGUCGUAACAAGGUCUCCGUUGGUGAACCAGCGGAGGGAUCAUUAGCGAGUUAACAAAACUCCAAACCCAUGUGAACGUACCUUUUGUUGCCUCGGCAGGUCGUGCUGCGCGGCCGGACCGCUACCCUGGAGAAGCUACCCUGGAGUAGCUACCCUGGAGUUGGCGGCACCUACCCUGCAGCACGUAACCAGGCCUGCCGAAGUGCCCUUAAACUCUGUUUUUACACCUGUAUUUCUGAGUCCAUUAUACAAAUAAGUUAAAACUUUCAACAACGGAUCUCUUGGUUCUGGCAUCGAUGAAGAACGCAGC
rnacentral:misc_RNA from 1 species